rnacentral:lncRNA from 1 species
UAGCUAUACAUUAAGACAUGUAGAUAGUUUAAACAUAGUGAUUAAUAAUUCAAAGGAAGCAUGCAUAAUUUCAUAAGUACAUUGACAAUGAACUACUUAUUCAUGCUACGGCUCAUGGCCUCACCCUAGUAAAAAAAAAUUAGUUAUCCAUAAUCAUAAUUGAAAAUCAAAAUAUUAUUAAGUAGAAAAAUUAGAAAACACAGUUGUAGUAAAGUCGAAAAUCACCAAAAGUUCCUCAGCUGAAUUCUCUAAGACAAAACGUUGUCCCCUUUAAGGGCUCCAAAAUCAACAUGUAAAUAAACCUAGAAAUCUGAGGCCUACAUAAAAUAAGUCUCCCAACAAAUCUGGAAUCCCAAUUGAAAUACUAGGAAACACAAUUCCAAUUGAAAUACUAGGAAACACAAUCAUAUUCUAACUUGGACAAUCUCGACUUGAACAUGCCCUCACUCGACUUAAACGAGGGAUGACAAAUCUAGGUCCAAAUAUUGCCCCUAGUCUCAUGAGCCUCAGCCUAGACGUCGAGUGGUUGUGAGAAUAAAAAUAUCUCAUGUUUGGAUGUUGGAUUGAACACCGCUCCGCCAAAGGGUGAGUUCAUCCAAGCGCAUGAAUAUAUGAUCAAAAACCUGUGAAUCUCCUUCUACCUGAGCACAAUUGAUACGCAGUCCGACUGGGAGAGUCGUAAUGCUCAGAGAAGCCGUUGUUAUAAACUUGCGGCUUCUACUUACACGUAAGAGAACAUCUCUGUAGCUAUAGUCUGACCGUACAUAUUCUUUCCAAAACUUAUCUUUAAUGCCUUUUAGUGGUGGAACGUGAUGCAGUGAUACCCAAAUGGCACCCAAGCCGUAUAGCUCAUCAUGACCCCACUCACACGUGUGCUAAAUGUUUCAUACGUGUGACAAUCAGAUACCGUAUAGGCUUUACAAACUACAAGGCUUAUUUUUAGUUGUGUCCGUGAAACUUUAUUUUAAUUUUAUUUGCCUAAUGUAACUCAACAGUCAUAACUUUACUUUUUGAAACUCAAAAUUUGUUCCAUUUUGACUUGUGGACUCUCUCUUCGCCCUAAAACUUAUAGGCCACUUCCUUAAACAUAUGUGAGACCCAAUACCCAAUAAGAUUAUGUCCAAUAAAGUUGAUUAUAAAUCUUCAUUAUGCGUUAACAUUCAAGAGAUUAUUCAGUUUAAAAGAA